AUUCUUGUGCUCGGGCACGUACUGUCGCCAGUGAGGUCCAUACCGAGGCACAGUCUUUUGCUGAUUGCAAAUUACACAUCCGAACACGUCUGUUGGCUUCGGCCUCCAGCAAUUUUUGGAAACCCUCCUCUUCCUGAUGAUAGCCUUGUGUUUGAGGG
rfam:Laetiporus sulphureus 93-53 unplaced genomic scaffold LAESTscaffold_4, whole genome shotgun sequence.